GGGCUAUCUGGCCUGUGGAAAGCAAAGCAAUGGUCCUCCCCUUUGGAAACCAAAGAAGCAACCCUGAUGACCUCUGAGUUGCCUUCAUGGUCCUUCUUCCCUUGUCUUGAAGAACAGUGCAUGUUCACAGUUGAAUAGCUCUAUGAUCCAUACAGUUAAAUAUAAGUUUGACAGCCUUCCUUCCUUCUUUCCCUUCUUCAUCCUCAUCAGUUCAAACUGACAAUUUUCCUGCUGGGAUGGCUGAUUAGGUCCAUGGUUCCCACCCAUACUAAUCUCCUUAUCAAAGGGGAUUUGGCCACACCACUGGUGUUCUCAUUUUUUGCAAUAUGAACAGGCUGAGAACUUUCCAAAUUUU
rnacentral:lncRNA from 10 species